GAAUGCGAUCAUACCAGCACUAACUUACCAAA
rnacentral:rRNA from 1 species